AUUCAAGCCUAACUUAGGCAAGCUCCAGAAGUAAGAAGUGUCUGUAUUGAUCCGUCCCUGAUUGCCAGAGCUUUUGGGAGAGAUCAUGAAGCGGGUGGAUGCCGACGGGGAGUAGUGGUUGCAGAGGAAGGACAUUGUAGCUUAUUUGCCUACGCCGGCGUCUGCCGUAGGUGGAUAAAUGAGGCGUGGAGUAUUGUUCAGCAACUGCGUGAGGCCGGCAAUAUCACCUUCGCAUCUUCUCAAAGAGCCUGGACUGAGGGACUCUCCGGUACAAUGCUUGAUCAGAAGGAACAAGAGCAACUCCAGACAUUGUCUCUAUCUCGGCCUUAUAUGCCCCAGGACUAUGAUACUAUGGUAUAAUAUGUAGAUUGUUAUUCAGAGCGAUUCGAUCCUCAGUUGUAACGUAAAAUUUUUUUUUCAAAUGGGGUGCAAUCAAAAGAUGUUGAACUUCUAGGGUGAUCA